AGAAACACCAGGUUAGCCGAUAAGACCACAAAAUGAAAGUAGAAGCUAGUUGCUCGCUGUGUUUGUAGCCUGUGAAAGUAGGCCAGGGGUGUUGACAGAUGUUGUGCUGUCACACAGGAAAGUUACCUGAUGCCUGAUCAGCUCACUCACAACAUUAACUUGCUUAGAAAAACAGGAAGGAACAACAGGUGCAUCUCUGAUUUGCAAGACGGAUCGAAAAGUUAAUAUAUUCCUGGAAUUCAAAAGUGAAACUCGCAUGGUAUAUUGAUUGAUUACGCGCACAGGGGUGUAUUGUUGUUCAUUUGGAAAUGAAAAAGUCUGUGGCUAACAAUUUAACGUUUAUUUUGAAUAUGAGUGCUACGUUAUGACCUGCAAAAACAUGGGAAAGACUGGUGACUUUACAGUCCAGCUGUCAUUCCUAAAAAUGCUAGGCUCAAAUAGUCCUGUAUCCUAGCAUAUGUUUGGAAAGUUGUAUGGAAGAAAAAACUCAUUUGUUAAAUCUAUAAACUACUAACAAAUGAAGUCUUGAGAGAAUCUUCCCCAUUUAGUUUUUCAUCUGCAGCUGUUGCUUUCCUUGUACUAAGCGCUUCACAGUAUUAGAGAUGUCUUACCAGAGGUGAAGAUAAAAAAAUAAAAGACUGCACUGUUCUGUGCUCAGGGGUCCAAAGUUUUCUUUUUAGAUGAAAAUAAAUGUUGCAUUUUAUUUGUAAAUCAAGAUCCCAACAUCUGGAGGAAGAGUGGAAAGGUUCACUCUUCCUCCAAGUUUCUUGGGCGUCUGUGUCAUCUGCUGAUAUCGAUCCAGUGUGUUUUUAUCAAGUUUAAAUGCAGUUGUCUGCCAUAAAAAUUUUUAGCACUUUAUAUUUCCUUCUCGUGACCAACUUUAGGGAAAUUCAGAUACAAUUUUUGCUACUGAACUUUGCAUCCACCUACACUGCCAAAAGUACCAUUAGCUCCAUUGACAUGAAACUAUCUGUUGCACAGUCUGUAAUUAGUGAUUAAAGAAAAUAAGUUUCAUCCAGAAGUCAUAGACAUUUGUUACACUCAACAUAUCAAAUGUAUAAUAAACAUGUCAAGACGCAACAUUGGAUAAAGAUAACAAGAAUACUUGUACAAGAU